rnacentral:rRNA from 1 species
AUGGAAAUGCCAGAAUCACAACGUUCUGGUAACCCUCGGGGCAUCCCACUCGUCUGGCUUCGUGAUAACUUUCUUAAUUUAUCUAGCUUCGCCAAUGAGGAGACGAGAAAAAGACAUCUGUUUGCAUAUUUGUUGUGGCUCCUCGGGAAUCUAUUUCCAAAUUCACAUGGGGACGUUGUUGUCCCUGGUCUCAUCUACAUUGCAGAGAAUAUGGUAGAUGAACCUUUACCCGAGCAGCCAAAAUACAGCUUCGGUUCUGCCAUGCUAUCUCAUACAUACAGAGGCUUGUGUGAUGCCACGCAAAAAACCUCUUUCGCACAAAAAGCUCCAUUACUUUGUGUCGCCUAUGAGUUUCUACAGUUGUGGUCCUGGGAAUACCUCCCUGUAGGACGACCUCGUAUAGUACAACCCAUAUACCCAUAUGACUUCGGCGAGGGUGCUAGCGCAACUAUGGCCACCAGGUGGACAAAGGCACGGAAACGUUGGUCUCCAGAUAUUGCGAAAAAUUGUUACCCUAUGUACCACCAGCAGUUUGAGAUACUUGAUGAGGCAGAAGUCACAUGGAACCCAUGGACUCAGGACCAGCUAAAAAUGGUCUUUGAUGCUCGACACUUCACACCAGGCAUGUUGACCGAUAGUGCAUUCUGGCUGACUCGCUGCAACUUAUUGUUCCUGUGGUGUGUUGAACCUUACAACCCAGAGCGUGUAAUGAGACAGUUCGGUCUCUAUCAAGAAAUUCCACCACCUUUUCCCAGACGUAUCGAUGAGGAAACACAUAAGCUGUACGAUGGAAGUACAGAUCAAGCGUACAAGCAGUGGUACUGCAUGAACACACGUGCUAGCCUGGCCAGUCAGCCAGCUACUAUACCAACACAUCUCACACAAGAGGAGCAGGCGCGGAGACAUGUUGAGCUGCAUGCAGCUUACUAUCGUGACCAUCUGCUUGAAAAUGUCAACGAAGUAGGGCAGAUGGCUACGGAUAGCAUGCCGGCCCAGGGCCCAUAUCGCAAGACAUUCCAGAAACUUUUGCAACAAUUCGUGGCAAAGAAGUUCAGAUGCGGUAGAGGCGACGACGUUGCCACUGGAGCAUACAUGCCGGUAGCGAGGUCAGCCAGACCGAGUGCGGCACCGUCGUCCAGACCGAGCGAGGCGCGUACGAGCCAUGAGCAAUGGGGGGAGGGAUAUGAUGCAUACACCCAAGAUGAGGGAUCUCAGCCGUUUCUCUCCACGCGAGGGAUCCCCAUGCCCGAGGAGACUCGUGUACCAGAUUUAAACCAGCACCAAGACACACCUGAUGUUAAUUGGGACGAUGAGAACACCCAACGCGGCGUCAACACAGGCCUCCGGGGAGCAUCACAUGAUCAUGGCGUCAACACAGGCCUCCGGGGAGCAUCACAUGAUCUUGGCGACACGGUUACAUCAUUAGUUACAGAGUUCUUCGGAGAGGAUGUUAUUGGCCCAUCUUUUAUCCCCCGGAGUCACAACCAUACGCCUACAAUUACGCUUCAGGCGCCGGCGCGCCGGCCGAACAGUUGGGCCGGUCACCGCUCGAGCAUCCGAUUCAGCAAAUUUGACCCGUUCGAUCUGAGUCUCGCAACAGACAAAAAAAAAGAAUCGAACGCCCUUCCUCUUGGGAACGCAGCGCUGCCGCCGCGGCCUGCAGCAGGAGCUCACAUCUCGCCGGUCUCCGCUCUUGCCGCCGGUCACCGCCCAUCACCUCCGGUCACCACCGCCCAUCGCCGCCGUCGGUCUCCCUUGUUUCUCGCUGGCUCCGUGCAUGCAGCAGCCGUAGUUGCAGCUCCUUGUGACACCGGUCACAACUCGGGUGGAGGUGGGCGCAACUCCGACAUGCUCCGGUUGCAGGUCACAGCAUCUGACGACGAGAUCGCAAAAAAAAUUGUACUCUCCCUCGGGUUGCCGGUAGCAGCAACAAAAUCGAUUGUUGUAGCAAAAAAGGGGAUCGUUUCCAGCAAAAAUAAAGCUCGCCGGUGCCGCCUGUGGUCGCCAUUACAGCAACAUUUCCAUGGCCUUCCCCUCAAAAAAAACCGGUUCCAGCAAAAAAAGAAGACAAUGGUAGCAAAAACUGGGGCUGCUUCUAGCAAAAAACUUGCCGGCUCCAGCACUUGUCGCCCUGAACGCCGGCCACCGCGGUUCUCCGGCACUUAUCGCGACCGUCUCCAGCACUGGUGGCUGCUGGUUGGAGCACUUGCCGCCGUCGUCUACAGUAUUGUAGCUGCUGCUGCGGCAUCGCAUAGCAUCAGUCCCAGCACCAGGCGGCGCCGGUCCCAGCUCCGGCACCAGCGCUCGGUUGCCCGUGGGAGGGAGGGAGAAAGGAAUGGGGGUGGGAGAGGGGAAUUUGCAGUAGGGUGCGAUGCCAAUGGUGGCCAGAUCAAUCUAUCGCGAGGGAAGGUUGGGAUGCUGGAAGCCGCACGAUAUAAGUUGAAUCCGACGUGCGGAGGCGGUUGCGAGCAGACAGGGGACAACACGACCCAUGACAGCACGCGUACCUCUCUCGAAGGCCCAGUCAAGGCACUACAGCGUGCCGGCCCACCAGCACAUUUAGCCCGCGUGGCAGGAUCAUCGUAUGAGCACACACUAAUGGACGUGCGAUCUAUCCGGGUAAGCAACCACCCCUUUGCAACAAGACUGAUGUUGCAGAAGGCCUUCUGCAACAUGAUGCGUGUUGCAAUCACCUCGAAGCAUUUAUUAUCUUCUGAAAAAUCUUCGCUACAAAGUGGUGGUUGCGUGCAGCUCGUCGGCGUGCUUGCCGGCAUGAAGCGCCGAUGGCGGCAGUCAGGGCAACACAGGGAGGCGACAACUCGACGAGGGAGCUCGAUCUCUUUGGUUGCAUGCCUUGCAACAUCGUGGAGCUCGCCAAAGAAGCUCGCCGGCAUGCUAGUCGGCGACGAGCACAUGUGGCGGUAUUCGGAGCAAUGCAGCAAGGUGGCGACUCGACGGGAGCUCGGGGCAGUCGGAGCAGUGCGGGGAGGCGGUGACUCGACAACAGCUCGACGCAGUCGGAGCAGCGUGGGGAGGCGGCGACUCAACGGAGCUCGGGAGGAGCAUGACAAGUGA